AUUGAACGCUGGCGGCAGGCCUAACACAUGCAAGUCGAACGAGUGGCGGACGGGUGAGUAAUGUCUGGGAAACUGCCUGAUGGAGGGGGAUAACUACUGGAAACGGUAGCUAAUACCGCAUACCAUCAGAUGUGCCCAGAUGGGAUUAGCUAGUUGGUGGGGUAACGGCUCACCAAGGCGACGAUCCCUAGCUGGUCUGAGAGGAUGACCAGCACCACUGGAACGGAGAAAGGGUCCAGACUCCUACGGGAGGCAGCAGUGGGGAAUAUUGCACAAUGGGCGCAAGCCUGAUGAAGCCAGGCCGGGUGUAUGAAGAAGGCCUUCGGGUUGUAAAGUACUUUCGGCGGGGAGGCGUUACCAGAAGAAGAAGCACCGGCUAACUCCGUGCAAGCAGCCGCGGUAAUA
rnacentral:rRNA from 1 species